rnacentral:rRNA from 1 species
GCAGUAGGGAAUCUUCCACAAUGGACGAAAGUCUGAUGGAGCAACGCCGCGUGAGUGAAGAAGGGUUUCGGCUCGUAAAACUCUGUUGUUAAAGAAGAACAUAUCUGAGAGUAACUGUUCAGGUAUUGACGGUAUUUAACCAGAAAGCCACGGCUAACUACGUGCCAGCAGCCGCGGUAAUACGUAGGUGGCAAGCGUUGUCCGGAUUUAUUGGGCGUAAAGCGAGCGCAGGCGGUUUUUUAAGUCUGAUGUGAAAGCCUUCGGCUCAACCGAAGAAGUGCAUCGGAAACUGGGAAACUUGAGUGCAGAAGAGGACAGUGGAACUCCAUGUGUAGCGGUGAAAUGCGUAGAUAUAUGGAAGAACACCAGUGGCGAAGGCGGCUGUCUGGUCUGUAACUGACGCUGAGGCUCGAAAGUAUGGGUAGCAAACAGGAUUAGAUACCC